ACAAAAAUCAAGCAUAAAAGGAUAUAUUUAAAAGAGAAUAGACCAUUUCAUAAUAGAUGCUAUUUUUUAAUAUAUUGGGACAUAAGGCUUAGUUUGGUUUGAUUUAUGCUUUAAAUUUACUGCUAUUGACAAAUGUGUGAAUGACUAGAUGAAUAUAAUCUUUUUUAUUGAAAUAAGUUUGCAUUUGUUAUCAUGCUUUUGCUAAGGCAGUCAACUGGUCAAUAAUUUUGAGAGGUUUCUUUCUUCUGUAAAUCUUACUCAUAAUUACUACCAAUUUUUCAUCAUGUACCUAUCAUAUCCAAUAACUAUUACAAUAAUUUUGUACCUUCAUCAAACUAUAAAUGGCUAAUCAGUUUACUCAAUCAUCAAACUAUUCAAAAAUUCAGAACACCACUCACACCACUUGUCCUAUAUAUAAACUAUACAAGUUGUUUAGUGUGAAUUAUUUGUCACACUCUUUGCAUUAACUGAUUCAAUAUUUUAAAACUCAACAACCCUUAUUUCAUAUUUUUUAUUCGUAAAUUACAAAUAGUGUGUAUAUAUAUGUAUGUAUAUAUGUGCUAUUUGUAAUCAACUUUUUGGAAGUUAAGUGGAAGAUAAUGGACUAGCAUUGCAAUUUAGGGAAGAUAAGAAAACUGUUGAAGCAUUUCAUUAACAUGUUGUGUGCAUGAGACUUGUUUGGACAAAUUAAGGGGGGCUAGCAAAAACAUGCCUUUGGACUUUGCAAUUAGUUUUAGAUAACACACAAAGUGAUAAAAAAAAUAAAAAAAAUGAAUAAUAAAUAACUAAAUACACGAGUUAUAAAUGUUUCAUAACACAAUAUUGAUGCACAUGCUCUUUCAUGCACGUUUUGAGUUUUGGUUUUGCUAAUGCUGUCAUUCUUGGUGUGAUGUUUGUUAACAUAGUAUGUUUCUCUCUUGUUUUCUAGUUUUUCAUUUGUUGAAUUGUGUUUUGUUGGUAUAACAAAACAACUAUCCAACACCUUUGAUUAUAAAAAAAAAAAAAAUUUAAUGAGUGGGAAGUCGUGUAUUUAUGUUGACAGAUUUGAUGAUGCAGUGGCAGCGGCUCAAAGAGCAGCACGGCUAGACUUAAGUAGCAAGGAAGUGAACAUGGUGGUUAGGAGGACACGGGCGGUGGCAAUGGCUCGGUCCAACGGUAACGAUUUGUUCAGGGGAUAAAGAUACUCAAAUGCUUGUGUUGCAUAUGGAGAGGGACUCGACCAUGACCCCUACAACUCGGUGUUGUUGUGCAACAGAGCCACUUGCAAGUCCAAACUUGGUCAAUUUGAGAAAGCAAUCAAGGACUGGACUGCUGCCCUUAAUGUGCGCCCAUCUUACAGGAAAGCUAGAUUAAGAAGAGUCAAUUGCUAUGCCAAGGUUAUGGCAAGCAAGACAAAGAUCUACAUUGUGCUCGAGUAUGUUGGCGAGGGUGAGCUUUUUGACAAAAUAGCCAAACUAGGAAGACUUAAAGAGGAUGAAUCUAGGAGAUAUUUUCAGCAGCUCAUCAAUCCUGUAGACUACUGCCACAGUAGGGGCAUGUACCAUAGAGACUUAAAGCCCGAGAAUCUGCUUCUAGACUCAUUUGGUGUUCUCAAGGUUUCAGACUUUGGAUUGAGUGCAUUUUCCCAGCAAGUGCAGGUAAGUAUUAUGUGAGUUUGCAACAAUUUCCUCAUCUAAGAGCAGAUUUUUAGCAGGUAGGUGUUAACAAAUUGAACGUUAAAUUUUUAAAAGUGGUUGCAGCACUGAGUCAAUUUUGCAGUCUAUUUGGUUUACUAAAAUCACCUAGUCCAGAAACUACCUUUCUGGCCAGGAGCAGUGCCCUGCUCUGAAAGGAAUUCCUCAGGAAUAAUGUGGCCAUUAGUUUUUCUUCUUUCCUUCAGUGGCUUGUUCACUUCUUGUUUCUAUUAAUUUGGAAAUGAACUUUUUUUUAUGAUUUGUGUCUUUCCUUUCCCUCUUUUUAUAUUAGUUUCCCCAAACCAAGGAGGCAGUUUAGUUUUAUUAGUUGACUUCUUCAUAAGAUUCUGUAUUAUGCAUCAUCUAGAUUUCGACACUUUGAAAACAUUCAGUGACCAUUUUUUAAGACUUGAUCUAAUCCACAUUGAGGUUAUAUGAU